rnacentral:rRNA from 1 species
AGUGAACGCUGGCGGUAGGCCUAACACAUGCAAGUCGAACGGCAGCACAGUAAGAGCUUGCUCUUACGGGUGGCGAGUGGCGGACGGGUGGGGAAUACAUCGGAAUCUACUUUUUCGUGGGGGAUGACGUAGGGAAACUUACGCUAAUACCGCAUACGACCUACGGGUGAAAGCAGGGGAUCUUCGGACCUUGCGCGAUUGAAUGAGCCGAUGUCGGAUUAGCUAGUUGGCGGGGUAAAGGCCCACCAAGGCGACGAUCCGUAGCUGGUCUGAGAGGAUGAUCAGCCACACUGGAACUGAGACACGGUCCAGACUCCUACGGGAGGCAGCAGUGGGGAAUAUUGGACAAUGGGCGCAAGCCUGAUCCAGCCAUACCGCGUGGGUGAAGAAGGCCUUCGGGUUGUAAAGCCCUUUUGUUGGGAAAGAAAAGCAGCAGGUUAAUACCCCGCUGUUCUGACGGUACCCAAAGAAUAAGCACCGGCUAACUUCGUG